CUACCUUUAAACACCCUAGUCUCUCAAGCUCUCUAAAAAAACUAGGGGUCGCCUCCCUCCGAUUACCACCCAAAGUCACCUGAAUCUAUGGCCUUCAAAGCCAUUAACGGCAUGUACCAACAUCCUAAGUUUCGUUGGUGCUCAACCAUCUUGGUUCCCGGACUAGACCUUGAAGAGGCUUGGCCCAGACCAUGUUCGAUUCGAGUUCUUUGGCCUGUCUCCGACCUUGCUCCGGCCAACCAUGGCUGUUCAAGCUUGGACUUGACAUCUCCUGCUUAGAUCACGAUUUUCCAAGCCUUUCUCGCUAUUUUGGGUUUCUUCUGAAACCCUAAACUUUUGAGUUUCUUCUGAUUCUGUUAGAUCCGUCGUAGAUCUAUGUUCUCUUUGAGCUUCUAAGCAUUUUUUCAUGAUUUUCGUCAAAAAACCUGUUUUCAAAAC
rnacentral:lncRNA from 1 species